rnacentral:rRNA from 1 species
UUGCUCUUCAACGAGGAAUGCCUAGUAAGCGCGUGUCAUCAGCAUGCGUUGAUUACGUCCCUGCCCUUUGUACACACCGCCCGUCGCUACUACCGAUUGAAUGGCUCAGUGAGGCCUUCGGACUGGCUUAGGGAGGUUGGCAACGACCACCUUGAGCCGGAAAGUUCGUCAAACUCGGUCAUUUAGAGGAAGUAAAAGUCGUAACAAGGUUUCCGUAGGUGAACCUGCGGAAGGAUCAUUAUCAAAAGUCAGUCGGGAGCCCUAGUGGCUGCCGUCUACACCCAAGUCUUUUGUGUACUCAUUGUUUCCUCGGCGGCGUAAGUCGCCGAAUGGACAAACUAAAACCUUUUUGUAAUUGCAAUCAGCGUCAUUAAAUAUAAUAAUAUUUACAACUUUCAACAACGGAUCUCUUGGUUCUGGCAUCGAUGAAGAACGCAGCGAAAUGCGAUAAGUAGUGUGAAUUGCAGAAUUCAGUGAAUCAUCGAAUCUUUGAACGCACAUUGCGCCCCUUGGUAUUCCAUGGGGCAUGCCUGUUCGAGCGUCAUUUGUACCCUCAAGCUUUGCUUGGUGUUGGGCGUCUUGUCGGACUAUCCGACUCGCCUCAAAUACAUUGGCAGCCGGCACUUUGGCCUAGGAGCGCAGCACAUUUUGCGAUCGUAAGCCGUUGUGACAGCAUCCAUAAGAUUUAUUUUACCACGUUUGACCUCGGAUCAGGUAGGGAUACCCGCUGAGCUUAAGCAUAUCAAUAAGCGGAGGA